UACAGAGGGUGCGAGCGUUAAUCGGAAUUACUGGGCGUAAAGCGUGCGUAGGCGGCUUGGCAAGUCGGGUGUGAAACCUCCAGGCUCAACCUGGAGACGCCACUCGAUACUGCCAUGGCUAGAGUCCGGUAGGGGACCACGGAAUCCGGGUGUAGUGGUGAAAUGCGUAGAGAUCCGGAGGAACACCAGUGGCGAAGGCGCUCGGCUGGGCUUUACCUGACGCUGAGGCG
rnacentral:rRNA from 1 species